GUCCAGACUCCUACGGGAGGCAGCAGUGGGGGAUAUUGCACAAUGGGGGAAACCCUGAUGCAGCGACGCCGCGUGGGCGAAGAAGUAUUUCGGUACGUAAAGCCCUAUCAGCAGGGAAGAAGAAAUGACGGUACCUGAGUAAGAAGCACCGGCUAAAUACGUGCCAGCAGCCGCGGUAAUACGUAUGGUGCAAGCGUUAUCCGGAUUUACUGGGUGUAAAGGGAGCGCAGGCGGCACGGCAAGCCUGAUGUGAAAGCCCGCGGCCCAACCGCGGGACUGCAUUGGGAACUACCGGGCUGGAGUGCCGGAGAGGUAGGCGGAAUUCCUAGUGUAGCGGUGAAAUGCAUAGAUAUCACGCAGAACUCCGAUUGCGAAGGCAGCGCACCGGCGCCCUACUGACGCUCAGGCACGAAAGCGUGGGUAUCGAACAGGAUUAGAUACCCGAGUAAC
rnacentral:rRNA from 1 species